AUUCUAUGAUGAACAACACUAAAAAAUAUCUUUGGGUAAUUUACGUCUGAAAUUCUCUGAUGAAUAUUCCAGACUAGAUCUGACGAAU
rnacentral:snoRNA from 17 species